UACGUAGGGGGCAAGCGUUGUCCGGAAUCAUUGGGCGUAAAGAGCGUGUAGGCGGUUCAGUAAGUCUGCUGUGAAAGUCCAGGGCUCAACCCUGGAAUGCCGGUGGAUACUGUCGGGCUCGAAUCCGGAAGAGGUGAGUGGAAUUCCUGGUGUAGCGGUGAAAUGCGCAGAUAUCAGGAGGAACACCAAUGGCGAAGGCAGCUCACUGGGACGGUAUUGACGCUGAGACGCGAAAGCGUGGGGAGCAAACAGG
rnacentral:rRNA from 1 species